UCACCAGGUACACGAGCAUCGGCUGUCGC
rnacentral:piRNA from 1 species